UACGGAGGGGACUAGCGUUGUUCGGAAUUACUGGGCGUAAAGCGCACGUAGGCGGAUUUGUAGUCAGGGGUGAAAUCCCGGGGCUCAACCUCGGAACUGCCUUUGAUACUGCGAAUCUCGAGUCCGGAAGAGGUGAGUGGAAUUCCUAGUGUAGAGGUGAAAUUCGUAGAUAUUAGGAAGAACACCAGUGGCGAAGGCGGCUCACUGGUCCGGUACUGACGCUGAGGUGCGAAAGCGUGGGGAGCAAACAGG
rnacentral:rRNA from 1 species